AGUCAAUAGAUACAGGUAGUCCACGCCGUAAACGAUGAGUACUAGGUGUAGGAGGUAUCGACUCCUUCUGUGCCGCAGUUAACACAAUAAGUACUCCGCCUGGGAAGUACGGUCGCAAGAUUAAAACUCAAAGGAAUUGACGGGGGCCCGCACAAGCAGCGGAGCAUGUGGUUUAAUUCGAAGCAACGCGAAGAACCUUACCUAGACUUGACAUCUCCUGAAUAGCGCAGAGAUGCGUGAAGCCCUUCGGGGCAGGAAGACAGGUGGUGCAUGGUUGUCGUCAGCUCGUGUCGUGAGAUGUUGGGUUAAAGUCCCGCAACGAGCGCAACCCCUAUUAUUAGUUGCUACCAUUAAGUUGAGCACUCUAAUGAGACUGCCCGGGGUUAACCGGAGGAAGGCGGGGAUGACGUCAAAUCAUCAUGCCCCUUAUGUCUAGGGCUACACACGUGCUACAAUGGUGAGAACAACGAGAUGCAAUACCGCGAGGUGGAGCAAAACUUGAAAACUCAUCUCAGUUCGGAUUGUA
rnacentral:rRNA from 1 species